UACGAAGGGGGCGAGCGUUGUUCGGAUUUACUGGGCGUAAAGGGCGCGCAGGCGGCUUAUUUUGUCAGGCGUGAAAGCCCCGGGCUUAACCUGGGAACUGCGUUUGAUACGGAUGGGCUAGAGUACGGGAGAGGUGAGUGGAAUUCCCAGUGUAGAGGUGAAAUUCGUAGAUAUUGGGAAGAACACCGGUGGCGAAGGCGGCUCACUGGCCCGUAACUGACGCUCACGCACGACGGCGUGGGGAUCAAACAGG
rnacentral:rRNA from 1 species